GCAGUGCAGAGCUGGUGUCCCUGUUGUGUUGUGAUGCAUCUGGACGGUACGCUGCUCUGGUGGCCGUCGGUUUCACACACUUGACGUUUGUGUCUGUGGAAUGUAGUCAGCUGCUGACACUGUGAAAAAUCCAAGUCUGAAUCAAGAGCUGUUGUUUCCUGCUUGCUAGACUGUGUGUCCCUCCGAGCCCCGUCGGACGCUUCUGCCUUCACGCGCUGCGCAGCAACCGCACGUCGACCAGGCUGAAUAAUCGAGGGCGGAGCUACAAGAUGCUGCAAUCCACCCAGACAACACAAAUCAACCGCCUGAGAGUGCGACAACAGAGCUGCUGCAGACGUGUUGAGUGCUUCAUACCAUCCAAAAGACACCACAGACGAGCCUGAGCAGAGUGU